rnacentral:rRNA from 1 species
CAGCAGCCGCGGGAACACGGAGGGCGCGAGCGUUACCCGGAUUUACUGGGCGUAAAGGGCGUGUAGGCGGCCUGGGGCGUCCCAUGUGAAAGGCCACGGCUCAACCGUGGAGGAGCGUGGGAUACGCUCAGGCUAGAGGGUGGGAGAGGGUGGUGGAAUUCCCGGAGUAGCGGUGAAAUGCGCAGAUACCGGGAGGAACGCCGAUGGCGAAGGCAGCCACCUGGUCCACUUCUGACGCUGAGGCGCGAAAGCGUGGGGAGCAAACCGGAUUAGAUACCCCGGUAGUCCCUGUCUCUUAUAA